rnacentral:lncRNA from 1 species
UUUUGUGUGUUUAUUUGUGUCUUAGGUUACCUUCCAACACAAUGAUGAGGAUUUGGUUUUUAAUUGCCCGACUGUUAAAAAGAGUUAUAAACAUGGAUGGAAGUUUGAUAUGCUAUUUGGUUUAUGCUUGGUUAUAGUUAUAGUUUACGAAUUCACAUGUAAUCACAAAUGAAAAAAAAAAAACAGAUUUUGUAACAUGCUUGAAGGAAGGAACUCAAACUAACGCUACAUCCCUGAGAGACUUGAGCCUAAACUUUAUUUGGAGAGUUAUUAAUCUGUGCAUUCUUGCUUUCUAAAGUCGUUGCAUGAUCUCAUUAUUCUUUGCUUGGUUGUUACUUAGAAUGCGUUUCAUCACUUUAGUUCCAAAUACUAGAACUCAUGCCCGUUUCAUUCAAAACUUAAAAUUAAGUGCAUAACAUAUAACAAGAUGAAGUUGUUUAGUAGUUACCACCAGAGCCAAAAAGCCUUCAUCCCAUGCAUUUUUUUUUAUAGGUUUAACCCCUUUGAGCCUUAUUUAGCCUAUUUUUGUUGUUAGCCACAUCAUUCCGACCUAGCCUAGAAUAGGACUAUCCAUACCCCUGUUCUUAAAGUAUAGUGGAGCAUGACUUAGAGGGAAUUCAUUUUGAUCAAACAUAUUGCAGAAAUCAAGUGUGGGGGAAGGAUAUAUGCACGGGUUUGAAAAGAAAAAAAAAGAAAAAAAGAACAAACGUGAAAAAGAAAAAAAAAGAAAGAAAAGAAAAGUUGUGAAAUAAGUGAGAAUGAACUCACAAGUAUUAGUUGUUGAUAGGAGCAUAUGCAUGUGACUUAGUUAGCUUGUUCUUGUGCAUUUAUAUUGUUUUUCUUUAGUUAUUUUAGUGUUUAAAGUCAUUUUCGUGCAAUUUCAGGUUUAUAUGGCUAAUGUAGCAAAGAAGUGCAUUUGGAGCCUUUUUGGAGCAAAAUUGGGCUUGGAAUGGAUGACACAUGCUUGGAGCUAAAGGAAUGGACGAAAUUGAAGAUCAAAGGAGGCUAGGAAUGAAUAAAUGAAAAUGAAGAACAAAGAGUUCAGAAUUGGAAACCAAAGUUUCUAAAGUUGGAAUUGCUAUUCUUGGAGGUUUCCAUUCUUGAAAGUUUCUAUACUUGGAUUGGAAGUUUCCUAAUCCUUUCUCACCUAUAUUCUAAGCCCUUGCCGUGCCUUUCUUAAGCCAAUUCCAUGUGGAUUCUGAUUUGGCUAGCCUUAUUCCUUGUGGAUUUGGGUUAUACAAAUCCUUUUCAGAAACUAAGUGGGCCAAAACCCUUUCCUUGGUGGAUUAAACCCUUAUGCCGCAAAACCUAGGGCCUAAUCCUUUUAUUUCUGCAAAGUUAAACCCUAAUCUAUUUCCCCUAGGGUUGUGCCGCACAUAUCAUUUCUAGAAGCCUAAAAAUCUGCACAAACCCUAGUCUUUUCUCCCUUGGAUGGGCUAAGCCUUUUAAUCUACAAAACCCUAACCUUAUUCCAUCAGAUUUUGUGAAAACCCUAGCCUAUAAAUAUAAGUUUUUCAGCCACAAAUUCGUGAUCACCCCUCUGUUGGAAAUAUGCCCUGAAAGUCAAUCUUUGGAAGAAAUCUUUCAGGACAAAUGAAUCGAUGUAUGGAUGAUUCUUAUACAUCAAAAGGCAAAGAUACUAAUUAGGACUAUCUCAAUAAACGAUAUAAGUCCUGAAUAGUGAAUCCAUGGACAAUGGAUCGAUUGAAGAAGUAAUCUAAUGAGUUAGACUACAGAGACCUUCUUCACAUAACCAUUAUGUCCAAAAGGUUCCUGGUCGUUGGAUUGUCGGAGGGAUACUGACAAUGCUUAGACCGGUACAUACCUUGUCCGCUUCAAUUGGAAGGAUGGAAAGUCUCAACCCAUUCGUGUUGUGACACUAAGACAAGUAUGUAGGUGCU